AUAGCCGAGCGCCUCAUAACUCAUCCUUGUAUUCAUGAAUUCGAAGUCCAAAUCGUAUGACCUGUACAUGAGAGCAAGCUGCCCGAAGAUGCAACAAAUUAUUGCAAGCACCGCAAUUUGUCAUUUAAAGGAGCUUUGAUGAUGUCAUGUAAGUAAUCACUCACCACAAAUCGCAAGUCAAAUAUGUGUCGCCACCUGAUCUCCCAAUCACCGUACAUCAUAUCAUCCUUGUACACAAGCAUUCUUGACACAACCGUCCAACCGAUUGUUGUUACAUGCCCACCAGGACCAAAUUCGUUAACAAAGUCCUCACCUGACAUCACUAUCAGGUAUGGCUCGCGGUGUUUGUACCAUUUCCUGCAAAUAAGAAAGGACAAGGCCGCAAUACAUGUCAGCCCAUAAACCAGUUGUCUACUUCCACUGUAUUCUAAUUCAACUUUCACUCUACCUGCUGCGAUUCCUGGAGCUUCUCGUGCACAUUUUGUCCCAGAAUUCUACAACAUUCUUUGCAAGGGGCUCUUCAUGCUUCAGACCAGCUUUUCCGGGGAAUAUGUCUCCCUUAUCAGUCAUUUCCAUCUUCACUAUGGUUCUCACCAUGCCAACACGCAAUCUCAGGUUUCUAUUCAUUCGGCCUGAAACCACUCCUACACCCCUCUGUAGAACAACAUCAUCUGCACCACCCAAUGACCGUACAGUCAAAACCCACAUUGAUGAUGCCGCUGAGACUAACACAUGUAUGUAUGUAUUCUAACCAACUGUGAACUAACUUGGAUUGAUUGCUGGCUCUAAGUCUGUACCAUGUGGAUCAGUUCCAGUAGUAUUCACUGCUGCCGAGUUUUCUCCUACAGCCCUGACUGCAUGUGCAAAUUCAACAAAUGAUGGAGACAUGUAAUGUCAUCGAUGACCCAUUUUUUACUCAUCCUUAGGAGUUUGCAUCGUCUCACCAGUAAUCCCUGGGAAUGCAUAUCCCGUGCUUCUACGAAGAACACCUAUGCCUACGGGCACUUGCUCUAGUCCUGGGAAAUCAUGUACUACAAAUUGUCACACGAAUGUGGUUGUUUCUUCGUCAUCAUAUAACAAUUUUUUUGCUUACGGACCUUCAUGACCAGCGUCUCGAGACAGUGUGUUCAUCUCAUGCCCAACAUCUCCACAAUUAGCACCUACUCCUGAACCUUCACUGACUUCCCUGACUGUUUGGAACAAUCACAAGUAGUGAAUGCAACAUGUCAGUACAGACAUAGGUUAUCCCCAAUAAUUAAUGUUUUAACUUACUUGUUAUCCCUGGGAAGGCAAAUCCCAUGUUGAUACGGAGAACACCUCUUCCAGUUGCAACUGCUUCAUUUAGUUCGGAUCCUGCCAAUUUAUUCACUACAAUUUUGUCAAUUUUCUUCAUAUGUUUUCAUUUUUCAAUGAAUGAAAAGGUGAUCUUACUGACCUUCAUGGUGCUCUUGCCUACCACCACCUCCAGGAUUACCCCCUGCUGCCGAACUUAGCCCGACUGCCCUGAUUGAUUGGUACAAAUACAAUAUGUACAUCAGUAUAGUCACAAUUGAAUUGCUUUUUAUCAUCAGCACAUAAUAUUUUACACACUUGUGCUCCUGUGGAAGACAUAUCCUGUGCUGUCAUGAAGAACUCCUCUUCCAGCUGCCACUGCUUCAGUUUGUUCUAUCUCUACAAAUACAUGCAAUCUAGAUUGUUACGCCACUGUUCAAGAGCUUUGAUCUUCAUAAGUCCAACUUUUAGCUUAACCAACCUUGAUGACGCUCAUCAUUUCUUUCUUCUGCCAUUACAAUAUUGCCAGCAUUUCCGCAAGCAUUUAGAGAUCCACCUUCAUUCCUGUCUAAUUCGUUAUCAGUAUUACCUUGUUCGUCUGCCCCUUCGUUUGUUGAUGUCCGUGUGUUAGAUAUCUCUAGCCUCAUCCUCUGUCGGCGGUUCUGGCUUCCUCUGUUUGCGGUCCUCUUCUGUCACCUCCUGAUGCCGUCUCCAGCUAUUCCUGCGCAUGCAGACAUUCCCGAAACUUUAUUAUACCUACUAUGAUCAUGGACACCGGUUAUUUAUGUACACUGACAGUAUCAUCACCUGCUCCAUAAGUCGCAGCUGUCACACCUCUAGUUUGCAAUGCCGAUGACAAGGUUUGAUACCCUUGUGGUGGUGAUGAUCCAAUGUAUGCCACCCAUACAGUUGGUAAAUAUAUUCAGCCGACGAAACUACUUAAUGUAAUUUAUGCAGCCAUGAACAUCACUCACCAUCUAUAUUAGUAUGAAACUUCAUGCAAGGAACGUCUGAUAUGAUCUCAUUGCCUAUGAAUAAUUAGAUACCAUCUUCAUUAUUUAUCACCACACGUAAUCAACUGUCAUUGCUAAGAUAGCCUGGCAUGUAACUCACCUGUUGUCCUAUUUGCUGGCAUUUCCUCUUUUUGUCCUUCCCGUUCUGCUUCUUCACUAUCCGGGUUAUCUGCCAUAUCUUCCGUCUUCAUGUAACCCACCCUUGGAGCCCGAUCUGCCACAACAAAAUUACUUUGUUAAAUUUCCUAAGCAAUGGUUUUUUCUAUUUGACACACCAUCGUUACAAUUUAUACCCGUUUGCUCUGGCCCUAUGUUGGCCAAGGUGUCUGGACUGCUUAUGGUUAGGUCAAUCAAUGGCACUGCAACAACUGAUAGUUUUCAUAUGUUAGUGUUCUUAAUUUUUAGAUAAUUUCUGUAGUUUACCAUCAUGUCGCACACACCUGAUGCUAUAUCAAUGACUUCAUUGUCAUUUAUAGCAACGCUUGUCACCAAGUCAAUGAAUGGAACCUUCAUUUCUGCAUGAAAUACAUAUAUUAUGUCAGCACGGACUAUUCUAGAGGUUUUAUAACAUUCAGUAAUGACAGGGCGGCUUAACUAACCAUUCACAUCAUACAAAAUUUGAACGGAUGAUGCAAACGGUCCAUCUGCUAUCAUUUCCUCAUUUUGUACAGAAUCAUCAUCUAUGAGGCUGUCAUGGUGUCUUUCUAGCAUCUCAUCAUAAGCCUCACUGCUUUCUUUUUCUGGAGACAAUGGCCCUGCAACUACCGUUGUUGUUGCUAUGACGGCAUGUGUACUUUCCUCCAUCACAGCAUCCAUCAUAUCGUGGACACCCAUUCUCAUUAACACAGCUUCAACUGCUCCAACAAAACAUUUUUUCAUAUAUGUGAGCCAUCCAUGCUUACAUUGUUGCUCAUGCAAAAAUAGGUAAGUAAAUUCAUCACCGAAAUACGGGGCUGACCUUCAAUAUCGGUAGAUGCUUGCAGAAACCUAGUUAUGAGUCCAGCAUGAACGCUGUUGUCCGCCCUUUCCUCUGGAUCGACCACGUACUCAGCAGAAUCUGGAACGCCACUGCCGAUUACUGCAUAUGCAGGCGUGACAGGUGUCUCUUCAUGUGUGUUGGCUGAUACACCUGUUGGUUCUAUAGGUGGGUCUACACAAAACAAACAUUCCUUUUCAUAACCUAACCCAUUCCAGCGCUUUACAUUUAAGGUAAAUUUGUAUCUAAAUUAAUCUGUCUUACUCUCUGGUGCACAUCCUGCAUAAUCAAGCAGUGGGAUAGUGCUAUCUUCUGUCCGCGCUUAUGUACCUCUUCUAGCGGUUAGUUGUACUGGCGCAAUUCCCGGAGGCGCUGCCAAUUGUUUGAAGUGUGUUUAGUUUCUCUCGUAGGUUAACAUUAGCAAUGUACUAAAUCACAUACGAAUUAUCAUAGAACGCAACUUCUUUACCUGGUAUGCUUAUCACCGGGGGCCACUGGACCCCUGUUUUCUUACCUCGUUUCUCUGCACAUUUAUAGACAAAUGUUCUUCUUAAUUAGUUAUCAAUCUCCUGACAUGAAAUGGCGUUAGUAUGUGUUAUAUAUGAGUUAAUUUACCUUGCCGCUCCAAAACCCUUGCAGCGUUCCGGCCUAUGCGUUCAUACUGUGUCUUCACAUCUUCAUCACUAUCUGAAGACUCAAAUUCACUCUCUUCCUCCAAUGCUGCUUUUCCCCUAUCAUUUGCAUCAAUUUGCACCAUGCGGCUCUGCCUCCGGGCUUCAUAUCCUCCUUCAUUGAUAACAACUGGUAGCUCACGCUCCCUGACGGCUUCCACUUGAGUGUCUAGAAAAUAGUAGUUCAGGGUAACUUCAUCAUUCAACUUAAGCACUCAAGAAAGGGUGAUGAAUGUUAGCUUGUCUAUAAUACACCACCUUCCGGAAUGACCGCAACCUGAUUGACCUCUCCUUCCAUUCCAUUUUCUGAACUACAUCCAUCACAGUCUGUGAAAGCCACAGAACGACACUUUAUCAAUUCAUUUGAAAUGCCUACUUUAUGAUACUUGUCAUGCAAGGAUCAACAUCAACUGGAAUUCAUGACCUUUUUACUGUGAACUUACCAGUUUGUUGGCUUCUUGAUCUGGACUGUGUGAAGAUCGUUUCGGCCUCAAGCAGUACUGUUGAAACAUUGUUGUGGUUUUGCACAUAUUCUUCUCUGCUGACAAUAUUCAUGGCAGGCUGUACUGAAAUAUUAUGAUUUCCUUCCACAUGCGCCUCAUCAUAUGUGUCAUACUCUGGAACUGGAAAGUCGCUCCCCACCUCUUCAACAACAUAACCAUGAGUCCAGACAGCAAUUUGCAAAUUUUCUGAUUGAUGCGCUGGGGUCGCAUUAUUUCCAAAUUCAGUCCCAGAGACCAUGGCUUCUUCAUGCCGAGUCACCGUGACUUCUCCAUCUGCUCUUUUAGCAUCUUCGACAACUCUGUGAAUAAUGCGGCUCCCAAGGCGUCCAUUGCCAUCGUCAGGUCCAACCAAUGCAUCUUCAUUAUCACCUGCAAACAACUGAAAGUUUGGCAAUACAGGAUUUCAGUUCUUCCAUCGUCAACUUCACUAUGGAGUUAAAAUGUAUUCAACAUAUUUUUAUAACUUACUGCACUAGCUAUUGCAUCCAUUAGAGGGUGCCACAUCCAUAUUCGCUGCACCAUGUAGCCUACAGGCCUGGUCUGCAAUACCAUUUCGCAUUUUGCAAACAAUGUCAGUAGGUAUGUUAGACAAUAUUACUCUAAUUUCAGUGAAGUAGUAGUUCAAUUACUGGGUAAUAUCCUGGGUUGUCUCUCUCUAGCUGGAUCAAUUUCCUCACUAUUGGGCUGGAGUAAGCACAAAUUCUUGGGAGCAGAUUUGACUGUAAGCUCGCAGGCCCAUAGUCCACCCAAUCCAGCUGAACAUACUGUAAAAACAAAUCCAACUAUGUCAGUCACUCAUUUGAUUCAGUAAUAAUAUGAAUGAGUACAGCUUGCAGUGUAAA